rnacentral:rRNA from 1 species
UACGUAGGGGGCAAGCGUUGUCCGGAUUUAUUGGGCGUAAAGAGCGUGUAGGCGGCCAGGGAGGUCCGUUGUGAAAACUCGAGGCUCAACCUCGAGACGCCGAUGGAAACCCCCUGGCUAGAGUCCGGAAGAGGAGAGUGGAAUUCCUGGUGUAGCGGUGAAAUGCGCAGAUAUCAGGAAGAACACCCGUGGCGAAGGCGGCUCUCUGGAACGCAACUGACGCUGAGGUGCGAAAGCGUGGGGAGCAAACAGG